rnacentral:rRNA from 1 species
UGGGGAAUAUUGGACAAUGGGCGAAAGCCUGAUCCAGCCAUGCCGCGUGUGUGAAGAAGGCCUUCGGGUUGUAAAGUACUUUCAGCGGGGAGGAAGGCGAUAAGGUUAAUAACCUUGUCGAUUGACGUUACCCGCAGAAGAAGCACCGGCUAACUCCGUGCCAGCAGCCGCGGUAAUACGGAGGGUGCAAGCGUUAAUCGGAAUUACUGGGCGUAAAGCGCACGCAGGCGGUCUGUCAAGUCGGAUGUGAAAUCCCCGGGCUCAACCUGGGAACUGCAUUCGAAACUGGCAGGCUAGAGUCUUGUAGAGGGGGGUAGAAUUCCAGGUGUAGCGGUGAAAUGCGUAGAGAUCUGGAGGAAUACCGGUGGCGAAGGCGGCCCCCUGGACAAAGACUGACGCUCAGGUGCGAAAGCGUGGGGAGCAAACA